GUCGUCAGCUCGUGUCGUGAGAUUGUUGGGUUAAGUCCCGCAACGAGCGCAACCCCUAUUGUUAGUUGCCAUCAUUCAGUUGGGCACUCUAGCGAGACUGCCGGUAAUAACCGGAGGAAGUGGGAUGACGUCAAAUCAUCAUGCCCCUUAUGACCUGGGCUACACACGUGCUACAAUGGUUGGUACAACGAGUUGCGAGUCGGUGACGGCGAGCUAAUCUCUUAAAGCCAAUCUCAGUUCGGAUUGUAGGCUGCAACUCGCCUACAUGAAGUCGGAAUCGCUAGUAAUCGCGGAUCAGCACGCCGCGGUGAAUACGUUCCCGGGCCUU
rnacentral:rRNA from 1 species